rnacentral:lncRNA from 1 species
UUGCAUCUCAUAAAAUACUUAACCUUAAAAAGAUUGUGGGAUUAUGGCUAAUGGGAACAGUUCUCAUAUGAAAAUAACUUAGUGGCUCUGGCUUUUUAUGAUGAAUUCCUUUGAUUACUUUUUAGCUAAAACAACCUUCGAUUUACAGAAAUUUUUGGGUUCGUUCAAUCAAGCAUUACAGGUAACCUUUACUGGCUAUUUGGUUCCGCUGCCUACUUGAGUGUGUGUUUCAUUGUUUCUUUUGCCUCCUCUGUUGUUGUGCUUUGUAUAUAUUCUUCUUGUAGGUGUGAGUAGAAUUGCUGCAAUAUGUUGCAGGUGCAUCUGUAAUGCUGCUUAAACUUUUGGUAGGUUUGGAAGUUGAGCAUUGAAGAGUGGUUGUGGUUUCAAAUCUGAUGUUCAUCAUUUAUCCUACCUUUACAUAUAUAGCCUCCAACAGUGUACGAGCGGGAAAAGGAAAAAAGGUUUUUGUUGGUUUGGCUUUAGGAGGGGUGUAUAUAUGCAAAAAAGGUUUCUCGGGCUCGUAUCAUAUAUGGCUGUGUUGUUGUUAAGUAGAAUAUAAGUCACUUUUCCCUGUCUUUGAUUGGAAAUAUGCUGUCUGUCUGGAUUUUAAUAUUGCUUCUUUGAAUACCUCUUCUAUAACUUUAUCAUGUGAUUUUGCGUAAUCUGCUAUUGAACAAAAGAGGGGUGUCCUCAAACACUUGAUCAUAUGCGUGGAAUGUCGAUUUGUUGUAUCAGAAGUUAAUGGCUUCUCAUUUUUCUGAAGAUAGGAAUAUAAACAAAGCAUUAUCUUCCACGACCAUUGAAUUCAUUGGGUCAUUCUAAUUAGUACACUGUUUUUUUCGUUUUAGACCCGAUAUCACUUGUCAGGUGCUGAGAGAUAUGCAUUUGACAAAGUUUUCCUUCUUUAAGAUAUGCCUUCAACAGCACCACCAGGAAACACAAAGUAUGUUUGUUACCAAUUUUCAGUUCCUCCAUUCUAUGCUUCUGUCCAGCUCUUUUUCUGAUUCGUAAAAUAUACUUGCAUACCGUCGGGGUUUUGAAAUGAGACACACAGAGCAUAUAUGGAGCCAAAUCCUUUUGAUAUUGCAAGAGAUUUAGUUGCCCACAGUCAAAUUGAAUAUAUUGCAACUGCUUGGCCAUAAUAACAACAACUACUACUCAGUAUACUCCCACCAGGUGGGAUCUGAGGAGGGUAAUAUGUAGACGAGCCUUACCCCUACCCGAAAGAGCAGAGAGGCUGUUUCCAAUCGACCCUCGGCUCAUAGGAUAAAAGGAAAAAUAUCAGUAAUACAAAAACAAAGUCAAAAACAAAAACAAUAGAGCAUUAGUAACUCCCGCAGAAAUAGCGUAAAUAAUUAUCUAAACAUAAGAAUCGUAAAUACAAUCGCAUGCAAUAAUAUCAUACAGUAACUACCAUAACUAAUAACCAUAGAGGGGACAUAAGCUAAAACACAAAUCAUCUACGGGUAACCCUACUGACCCACACCCAACCCCGCUGACCCACACCCAACCCCGGAUGAGGCGUACGAAAAACUUUAGGAGCCCCUAACCUACAACCCUGAUUCUAGACCUCUAGACUCUCCUAUCAAGGGUCAUGUCCUCGGAAACCUGCAUUAUCUGAUAGUCUAUCCACUCUUUUUUAACAAUGAUUGUUAUCCUUUCUAUGUCACUACUUAUCUGAUAGUAACUAUUAUGUUACAAUUUUGAAGUUAAAUAGCCAAGAAAUAGAUUAGAAUUAAGGAAGCUCUCUUACCUAGAUAUGAUCGGGACUUUGCACACUGUAAAUUUAGGGCACUUAGUGUUGUUACUCCAUUUAUAAAAAUAUCAUUACUUGUAAAAAAAGAAAAAGGGCAUUGUAAGCUAAUUUUCUGUAUCUUAGAGCUUUUGAGAUCGAUAAAGAGAACAUUUGAUUCUUUUGAGAAUUAGUGAUAGGUUUUGUGAUUGAGAGUAGACAACCUAGAGAAGAAGAUGAUGAUUCUUGCAGGACCGGGUGCUCUUUUGUGAAUAAGGCCGACACACUGCUUUAGUUGAGUCCAUUAUCUUAUCUGCAGUGUGAUAGCAGACACAAGAUAGAAAAAUCAAUUCAACUCUUGUCAAGCAUUGGGGUCAUACUGAAAGAAUAUCUUAUCAUUAUAUUUGACAGCCUCUCUGCCCUUUCGGGUAGGGGUAAGACUCGUCUACAUAUUACCUUCCCCAGACCCCACAUAGUGGGACUAUACUGGGUAGUUGUUGUUACUCUUAACCUAUGUUUCUACUGAACUUAGAUUGACAUUUUUCAAUUGUUCUACUAUAAACUGAGUUACUGGAGUAUUUUUUCUUCUACUGGGAACUAUAAGCUUAAUGUGUUCCCUACUCUCCAACUUUUGGCAUAUAAUAAUGAAUUAUGCAUCGGUGAUUCUAAUGCUCUUUUCAUGUUGAUCACACACGCUUAUACUUUCAUCAUCUGAUUAAGGUAUGAAUAUUUUUCAUCCAAGUGUACUUCGGAUUAUGUAGUGUGCUAAAGUUCUUUAAUCUAGAAGAUGAACUUAAAUGGCUUUUACCCUUGUCUUAGGUUAAUGUUCUUAACCUUUCAGAUAAAACCAUCAACAUUAACUUGGAAAGAUAUCACUGCUUUUUGCUCUUGAAGUAGUAAAUUAUUUUGGUAUUCUCUAAUGCUCUCUUUCCUGUCUGAAAGAAACAACUAGAGAGUUAUCAUUUUGCGGGAGAGUUAAGUGAUAUAAUCUCUAACUGUGAAAAAGUACAACCCAGUAUAAUCCCACUUAGUGGGGUCUGGAGAGGGUAGUAUGUACGCAGACNNNNNNNNNNNNNNNNNNNNNNNNNNNNNNNNNNNNNNNNNNNNNNNNNNNNNNNNNNNNNNNNNNNNNNNNNNNNNNNNNNNNNNNNNNNNNNNNNNNAUGUACGCAGACCUUACCCCUACCCUAGGGUAGAGAGGCUGUUUCCAAAUAGACCCCCGGCAUCCUUCCCUCCAAGAACUUCCCACCUUGGCUCUUGGGGAGACUCGAACUCACAACCUCUCGGUUGGAAGUGUGGGUUGCUUACCAUCAGAGCAAGCCCCUAAUCUCUAACUGUGAGUUUUCCCGAAAGAUGCUAAGGUUCUCUGCUAAUUUCUCAAGUACAGCAUAGUAAAAAUUGACUUAUACAUAUGCUGUGGGAUAAAGAUAUCUUCGUCUUUCCAAGAACACUUCAUCUUCUUUUCUUAAUUCGCCGGGGACAAUAGGUUUUUUUCUGGUUGCCCUAUUAGCUUUAGUUAUAUGUAUUUUUGCUUUGAUACAUCACUCGAAAUUCCAACAACAAAGUAUAUGUCUUAUUCUUUUUAAACGUUUUGAAUUAUUUGUCCUAUUAAGUUAUCAAUUUCUCUUAUUCAUUAUUCAACUUAAUGACGAAUCUCCUACUAGGAGAGGGCUUUUUAUAUGUACUGUUAGAAGUUAGUCUCAUAUAGUUCAACAUUAUUGUCUUGACUCUUAAUCUGAUUGAUUGCAUUGUUUUAUUGGUAGACUUCUUAAUGAAGAAGUGACUGCAAAUGUGACUGAAGUGAGCUCGAAGUUGUUGGGUGCCACUCCAUUUUGUCCGUUGCUUAGGGUUAUGAAUGAAUUGGUUGAGAGAAGUGCUGCUAUUAGUACAC